AAUCAUAUGACCAAGGGCCAUUCCACUACUCUCUUCCUCUCAUUCCCGUAAAACCCUCAAGGAACCAAAAAAAAAAAAAUGAAGAACACCAUUCUCUAAUAGUGGUUAGGAAGCAAGAAAAUCGGAAAAGAAAUGCUAGAGCAGCCCCGAAUUGGUGAAGAAUCUAAGCUUGGGCCAUCAAAUUGAAGUAUAGGAGAAGAUCUAUUGAAGUCAACUAGGGAUUAAGUUGACCCUGAUUAUGCAGGGGAUUACUGAUGUCAUAAAACACGGAUGUUGGGUGAAUGAAGCGUAGAUAACUUUUGCUACUAAUAUGUGUAACAUGACUUGUAUUUGUGGUAGUAUUUAUUUCCGGCUUGGUAGUGUUUUGGAAGAUCCUUGACUUACUUUUGGACUUAUUUGUAUAAUAUUAGUUUAUAUCUGUUAAUUUGUAUUUAAAUUUUCCAACAACACUUUAAAUUUUGUAUUUAUUCCCACCCCUAAGCCCUUGCUUAGGGUCAAAUCCAAGUAAUAGCUCGUAUGAUCCUCCCGGGCU